CUCUGUCUGACUGAUUUUCCUUAGCAUAACACCCUCAAGGUCCACCCAUGUUGUCAGAAAUGGCACGAUUUUGUCUUUUUUUAUGGCUGAGUAGAACUCAGGGUUAACAUUCCGGUUGACAGGGAGCUACUGAAGGUUUCUGAGCAAGGAAACCUCGGAGAAGUGGUGAAAUUGGUGAAAUCAUACUCUAAAAAUAUCUUCCUGCUCUGGAUUGGAGAGCUAUUGAGUGACAGGUCCUGGAAUUAAAACGGCCAAUUCAGAGGCUGCUAGGAUAAUUGCGAUUUGAGGUGAUGGAGUUCUGGGCUUCCAUGGCAGCAUAAAAACAUGGACAUUUUGAGAAACAGAUAUGACUUGGUGACUAGGAGAACAGGGAGAAUAGGGGGAGAAAUGAGCCAAUGGUGACACCACGAGUCUGAGCACGACCCAGGAGGGGAGCACCACAGGUGACCUGAAGUCAGAGAGAGGGCAUCGGACUUUCAUAAGCAAGAUGGCAAACCUGGCCCUAGACAGGCCAAAUGGAGCUAAAAAGUUCAGCAGAAAGUUGAAGCUAUGUAACUAGGGCACAAGUCAAAGGGUAGAAUUGGAGAUUAUGUAUAUACAAGUUUUUAUUGUGGAAUAUUUCAGAUACAUCAAAUGUAGACUCCAGAGUAAUAAACGACCGUGUGCCCAUCACCUGGCUUCAGUCAUGAUCAACUCUCGGCCAGCCUUGUUUCACCCAGACUCCCCACUCGGCAUUAUUCUGGAACAAAUUCCAAACAUGGAGGGAGGGAUUUAAAGGUUCGAAGCACAGAAACUGUAGAUUUGGGAAGAUCUCAGAGAAGCUGAAAGCAAACCUUAUCUUACAGACAAGCAAAGGUAAAGAUCAGAGACAGGAAUACACUUCCCCUCGUUCAAAACAGUUGGUGGAGGUAUAACAGGAACCCAGGUAUUCGCAAACAGCUUUGCAUCUUUCUGAGAUGAAAUGAGAAAAAUAAGGAUGCCAUGCAAAUUGUUCAGAAAGCUGAAAUUCAAAUAUUAAAAUUACUGUCUGUAAAUAUUUUACAAGUUACUAUUGGUAAACAUAUUUAAAAAGUAAACAUUUGUCUUGUGUUUACCCUAUUCGUAAUUCUGUCAAGUACAGCACACAGGUCAUACAUUGUCAAAUAGGUCCUCACAGUAACAGCAGAACAAGAGACCUGUGUCGACUUAAUCACCCCUGGUUGGUUUUCAGUGUGGCCGCAGAGCAUCCAGGGUCACCCUAAGUGUGCCCUGGGGACAACAAGAGUCCUAUCUACCCAGAGUCAGUUUACUUGCGGCUGCCAGGAAAGUCACCUUGAAUGACACGUCCCCUCUUGGACCCCACCCACCUACAUUCAUGGUGCAAACUCCGUGUUGAUUGUGGCAAGGGGAAAACAUAACGGUGCACAAAGAGGUGUGCUGAUAACAAUUCCACAGAAGGGCACGACGUGAAGAACAGUGAGCCCGCCCAAAGAGAAUGGCAUCGCUUCAUCAGAAAAUACGACAGUCCGUGGCUCCAGCUCAGACUUAUUAAAGUAAAUCAAUCAGUGUGAGUCAUGGUUUAAAGACGUGGCAGUGUUCUUUACAAAGAGGUUAUGAAACCACAGAACAACUUCAGCUUUGUGGAAAAAAAAAUCUGAUUUUAAAAAUAUGCGUGGUGUUAGAAAUACGAAUACAAUGGCAUGGAAAGUAUUUAUAAAAUGGGGUUGCCUAUUGCAGACUCUAAAAGCCACUUACAUUUCAGGCAUUAAGGUGUUUGACGUACAUAUAAAAGAUGUUUGCUUCCCUCUGGUACUAAAACAAUUAAGUUGAUUCUGCACCUCUGUCACAGGACACAGUUACUGGAGGGGUGAGACAGCUGUGUGGGACCAUAUACGACUCGUUACUUCAGUAUAUCGACCACGCCUUGCCCAAGACUGCUGGUGGCCGCACGUCGGUCUUACCUGAUGCACGUACUCGUCCAUGCUGGAUGGCAUGUCGAAAUUCACGACCAGCUUCACGCUGACCAAGUCCAGGCCGCGUCC